ACUGGAGGACCAAGAAGGCUGAGCCUGAUGAAGCAAGACUUUGCUUAUACACUCCUCCUAGAAAAAAGCGUUGGAGAAAGCAGCCCUUAUUGGAGAAAAUCUCAGGGCUGACUGUACUACCUAAUAAUC
ensembl:scaRNA